GUGUGAAUUUUGUUUUAAAUGACAGAUAUUUUAAAGCCACAUUAAAAAAAUCGCAUACUUACUUUAAAUUAGUAGGUAAAUAAAUGUAAUUUUUAUUUUGUCGAGAUUUCAGUAGAACGAGGCAAUAUUGUAUCUUCAGAUAUAAUUCCAUUCUAAAUUAUUUCAUGAUAUAAAAAUGGACUAUAACUGAGCAAAUUUUUAUUUGUUUAUAUCUUGUUUUUUAUAUUUAAUUAUAACAUUUGAAAUAGUAUCUCAAUUAAAGUAUCAGAAGAAAAUAUUCGCAAUGGGAAUUAACUUGUCAGUUAAUAUCCAAGUGACGUACGCGAAGUGGUACGAAGAUCGAAAGAAAAACAAUUCGCCUUUGACAAAGGAAGAAUUACGCCAAAUUGUGAUAGCAGAGAUAAGAAAAAACGAAGCAGAAUGUUCGCAAAGAAGGGGGGGGGGCGACAAAUCGAAGCAGACGAUUGCAGCCAAACAGAAAUGACAGAAGUCUCAACAGAAGCGAUUGUUGAGCUAAUUUUAGAUUGUGACAAAAGAAAUAUCAAUCCGUUCGGCAAUGCUAAUCGUGCCGAUUUUCUUUGGCGUUCCGCUUUCGAAAAAACUCUACAAGCAAGAAGAGAUCAAAAUUCACAAAUUAAAGAACUGAAUUGAAACUAUCACAACUUAACAAUUAUACCUUUUCAUUUCAGUUUAAUUAUAUUAGUUGAUUAUGAUAACAUUAACAAUACAACUAUCAUUAUUAGUUAGAUAUUUGGUAAAUCUUACUUUCCUGUGUUUUAUUUCUAAUUAUGUUGUGCAAACACAAAACUUAUAUUAUGUUGCCCAUGCAAUUAAAAGCUUUACUUCUUUACCACAUUGAAAAACACUAAUAUUGGGGUAAAAUCUAUAUCCAAAGGAGAUUUUUAUUGGUUGAUUAUUUUGCACCUAAGAGUAACAUAAAAUUAGUAUUUAAAAAUUAAAUAAAGCCAAAUGUGAUUUCUAUUUUCUGUUAACAAAUUUUGGUAAUAUUAUUUGAAGCGCUCCAGAAGUGUGUGUACCAAUAUAAAGGUAACUGAUUUUGUUCUCCUAUUUACAUCAAGUUGUGUAAAGAGACUGAAACCCAUGGGCAGGGGGUAUAUUCACUUGCCUAACACAAACAGUC